CUGCACCCCCUCGGAACCCACA
rnacentral:miRNA from 1 species